rnacentral:rRNA from 1 species
ACGGGAGGCAGCAGUGGGGGAUAUUGCACAAUGGGGGAAACCCUGAUGCAGCGACGCCGCGUGAGUGAUGAAGUAUUUCGGUAUGUAAAGCUCUAUCAGCAGGGAAGAUAAUGACGGUACCUGACUAAGAAGCCCCGGCUAACUACGUGCCAGCAGCCGCGGUAAUACGUAGGGGGCAAGCGUUAUCCGGAUUUACUGGGUGUAAGGGAGCGUAGACGGCAAGGCAAGUCUGAUGUGAAAACCCAAGGCUCAACCAUGGGACUGCAUUGGAAACUGUCUAGCUAGAGUGCAGGAGAGGUAAGUGGAAUUCCUAGUGUAGCGGUGAAAUGCGUAGAUAUUAGGAGGAACACCAGUGGCGAAGGCGGCUUACUGGACUGUAACUGACGUUGAGGCUCGAAAGCGUGGGGAGCAAACAGGAUUAGAUACCCUGGUA